GCCACCACACCCAGCUGAUUUUUGUGUUUUUUGUAGAGACGAGGUUUCGCCGUGUUUCCCAGACUGUUCUCAAACUCCUGAGCUCAAAGCAGUCCACCCACUUUGGCCUCCCAGAGUGCUGGGAUUACAGGUGUGAGCCAUCUUGCUCAUUCUAGUUUAAACUUUUGAGUGGUUUGUGUCUCCUGAUUGGACUCCUACAAAUACAGAAUUGAUGCUAGGAAGGGUACCAGGAGAUAGACGCACACAGAUGGGAUUUGGGAAUAGGUUUGGUUAUCCAAGGAGCAGUGCUGAGCUCCUUGCUAAUGGGAUAUGGGAUGCUGGUGAUUUCCAGGAAGUGAGCUCACAAUGACUCAAGCUGCCACAUACUGUUGAUUGUGAAAUGCCAGUUGAAGCAUAUGUCCUGCGAGCUUAGGGGUGCUACAAGUUGACCACUGCAGCAGUAAAGAUGACUCUGAAGAAUGGCGUGGGAUGGAUCCUUUGAAAUGCACUUGAGCAGCGGUCUCCAACCACAGGGCCACAGAGCUGGAGCUGGAUCUACCAUGAAGGACUUCUGAAUCCAGGAAGAGAGACUGACUGGGCAACAUGUUAUUCAGGGUCUCACUCUGUUGUCCAAGGCUGGAGUGUAGUAGUGCUAUCGCAGCUGACUGCAGCCUCAACCUUCCAGGCUGAAGCGAUCCUCCCACCUCAACCUCCCACGUGGCUGAGACUACAGGUGCUUGCCACUAUGCCCAACUAAUAUUUGGAAUUUUCGUAUACGUGGAUUCCAGAGAGGUGACAGCGAAACGUGGGACCAUCCAGUUUCAGGAAAACAAGCUUAACACGCCCACUGAUUCUACAUUAUGAUUCUUCAGGCCCAGCAUCUGCCUCACUGUGGACCCCCCAAGCCAAGCUCCCAACCUUUCAGCAGCUUCUACACACCCAGCUCCCGCCUGCCAGUGGCCUCUUCAGCCCCAUGGGGCUCAUUCCUCACCACAGCCUUUCCAGUCCCAGUUUUUCCCUUCCGGCGGCCUCUCUGGGCUGAGAACCUCCUCAAGUCGGCCUCUCCAGACCACUUGCACCCUCCAGGCGUCC